rnacentral:lncRNA from 1 species
CAUGCUCGCUAGGAUGUCGCAUCCUAUGCAUACGUAUCUCCUUUGGACGAAGGAGAAUCAGAGCAUUCGUAGCUCGGCUAACACGCACACAAACGACCACAGCAAAGGCAAACGUGGAGCCUGAAUGCCACAUCACUGGGCUUACAUCAGCAUCCGAACCAAAAACGCACACCAGAAGGCAAACGUGGAGCCCGACAACCAAUUGAUGGAAUUACGUCGGCAUCCGAACCCACAACACACUCAGAAGGGCAAACAUGGAGCCCGACAACCAAUUGAUGGAAUUACGCGCAUCCGAACCCAAAACACACAACAGCAACACGAAACAAAGACACAGGAAGAAGAGGGUCUCGAUUGCAACUAGGGCAAGAGAAAGGGAGGUCUCAAUCGCAA